rnacentral:rRNA from 1 species
UGCCAGCCUCCGCGGUACUCCUGAGUGUGCGAUCGUUAAUCGUCAGCACUGGGCGUAAAGCGUGCGUAGGCGGCGCAGUAAGUCAGACGUGAAAGCCCUCGGCUCAACCGAGGAAUUGCGUUUGAAACUACUGUGCUAGAGUCUCGGAGAGGUUAGGGGAAUUCCAGGUGUAGGAGUGAAAUCCGUAGAUAUCUGGAGGAACACCGGUGGCGAAGGCGCCUAACUGGACGAGUACUGACGCUGAGGUACGAAAGCGUGGGGAGCAAACAGGAUUAGAUA